rnacentral:lncRNA from 1 species
CGCGCAGCACCACACCCUUCAAAAAAAAAAAAAAAAAACGAAAACAAAAUCCAAUGGUUGGGGGAAGAGCUUGGUGGUUACCAUGUUGUUGAAUUUACAUGCAUGCCAUACUGAUAGCUGGUGCAUAUUUGUGUGGUGGGUUGCUCGACAAGUGGGUUCUUCGUCAGCGGCAUCAGAAACUCCACGUCCUGAAGGACCCUUGUGAUGUAGCCCAGUGAUUAAGAGCUCGUUUUAUGCAAGAACCAAAGAAGUACAAAGACCUACUGUUGCCAUGGCAGCCAGUUCGAUAAUCAGUUAUUUUGUGUUCAGUUGGACAUGAGCUACAUCUUGGACAUAGAUAAUUAAUUGACACUAAGUGUGUAGAGUUUGCUGUUUGCCAAUGUUCAUAAAUAGCGGUCAUGCUUGCAACAAAUCUUUGGCACUGUUUUGUAAAUAUUUCCAGUAAUAAACUUGUCAUACUCUUAA